CCGGGCCUGGAUCUUCCAGGAGGGGACAGUGCAGCGGUGAUCCGCAGCAGUAAUGGCGCGUGUUCCUCUCUGUAGCUGACGCCUGCACACGAGACAGCCCAGCACGGAGCCUCCAAGACCUAGCAGUAACUGAAGUUAGGAAGGGAGGCAGGCAGGCAGAUAAACCAGAGAAACAGUGGACAUCUGGCAACGCAAUCUGCACUUUGAGCCCCCUUCACGAAGACUUUCCUGCACCGCUGCGUCUGUACUUGGCACAGGUAUGUCUAACGACUGU
rnacentral:lncRNA from 1 species